UACGUAGGGGGCGAGCGUUGUCCGGAUUUAUUGGGCGUAAAGAGCUCGUAGGCGGUUCGAUAAGUCGGACGUGAAAUCUCCACGCUCAACGUGGAGGGGCCGUUCGAUACUGUCGUGACUCGAGUCCGGUAGGGGAGUGUGGAAUUCCCGGGUGUAGCGGUGAAAUGCGCAGAGAUCGGGAGGAACACCCGUAGCGAAGGCGGCACUCUGGGCCGGUACUGACGCUGAGGAGCGAAAGCGUGGGGAGCAAACAGG
rnacentral:rRNA from 1 species